rnacentral:rRNA from 1 species
AUUGAACGCUGGCGGCAUGCCUUACACAUGCAAGUCGAACGGCAGCGGGGGAGAAGCUUGCUUUUCCUGCCGGCGAGUGGCGAACGGGUGAGUAAUACAUAGGAACGUGCCCUGUAGUGGGGGAUAACUAGUCGAAAGAUUAGCUAAUACCGCAUACGACCUGAGGGUGAAAGUGGGGGAUCGCAAGGCCUCAUGCUAAAGGAUCGGCCGAUGUCGGAUUAGCUAGUUGGUGGGGUAAAGGCUUACCAAGGCGACGAUCAGUAGCUGGUCUGAGAGGACGAACAGCCACACUGGGACUGAGACACGGCCCAGACUCCUACGGGAGGCAGCAGUGGGGAAUUUUGGACAAUGGGCGAAAGCCUGAUCCAGCAAUGCCGCGUGUGUGAAGAAGGCCUUCGGGUUGUAAAGCACUUUUGUCCGGAAAGAAAUGGCUCUGGUUAAUACCUGGGGUCGAUGACGGUACCGGAAGAAUAAGGAUCGGCUAACUACGUGCCAGCAGCCGCGGUAA